GACGAACGCUGGCGGCGUGCUUAACACAUGCAAGUCGAACGGAAAGGCCCUGCUUUUGUGGGGUGCUCGAGUGGCGAACGGGUGAGUAACACGUGAGUAACCUGCCCUUGACUUUGGGAUAACUUCAGGAAACUGGGGCUAAUACCGGAUAGGAGCUCCUGCUGCAUGGUGGGGGUUGGAAAGUUUCGGCGGUUGGGGAUGGACUCGGGGCUUAUCAGCUUGUUGGUGGGGUAGUGGCUUACCAAGUCAUUGACGGGUAGCCGGCCUGGGAGGUGGACCGGCCACAAUGGGCCUGAGAGACGGACCAGACGGCAACGGGGGGCAGCGGGGGGGAGUAUGGCACAACGGGGGGGAGCGUGAGGAAGCAACGCCGCGUGCGGGAUGACGGCCUUCGGGUGGGAAACCGCUGUCGCCUGUGACGAAGCGGGAGUGACGGUAAUGGGUAAAGAAGCACCGGCUAACUACGUG
rnacentral:rRNA from 1 species